UACGGAGGGGACUAGCGUUGUUCGGAAUUACUGGGCGUAAAGCGCACGUAGGCGGAUUUGUAAGUCAGGGGUGAAAUCCCGGGGCUCAACCUCGGAACUGCCUUUGAUACUGCAAAUCUCGAGUCCGGAAGAGGUGAGUGGAAUUCCUAGUGUAGAGGUGAAAUUCGUAGAUGUUAGGAAGAACACCAGUGGCGAAGGCGGCUCACUGGUCCGGUACUGACGCUGAGGUGCGAAAGCGUGGGGAGCAAACAGG
rnacentral:rRNA from 1 species